rnacentral:rRNA from 1 species
UACGGAGGGUGCAAGCGUUAUCCGGAAUCACUGGGUUUAAAGGGAGCGCAGGCGGACUGGUAAGUCAGUGGUGAAAGCCCUGGGCUCAACCCGGGAACUGCCGUUGAUACUAUCAGUCUUGAAUAUCGUUGAGGUUUGCGGAAUGGGUCAUGUAGCGGUGAAAUGCAUAGAUAUGACCCGGAACACCUAUUGCGAAGGCAGCAGGCUAAGCGAAGAUUGACGCUGAGGCUCGAAAGCGUGGGGAUCAAACAGG